AUUGAACGCUGGCGGCAGGCCUAAAACAUGCAAGUCGAACGAGUGGCGGACGGGUGAGUAAUGUCUGGGAAACUGCCCGAUGGAGGGGGAUAACUACUGGAAACGGUAGCUGAUACCGCAUACCAUCGGAUGUGCCAAGAUGGGAUUAGCUGGAUGGUGGGGUAACGGCUCACCUCGGCGACGCUCCCUAGCUGGUCUGAGAGGAUGACCAGCCACACGGGAACUGAGACACGGUCCAGACUCCUACGGGAGGCAGCAGUGUUGAAUAUUUCCCAAUGGGCGCAAGCCUUCUGCAGCCAUGCCGGGUGCAUGAAGAAGGCCUUCGGGUUGUAAAGUACUUUCAGCGAGUAGGCGUUACUCGCAGAAGAAGCACCGGCUAACUCCUUGCCAGCAGCCGCGGUAAUUC
rnacentral:rRNA from 1 species